rnacentral:rRNA from 1 species
AUACGGAGGGUGCAAGCGUUAAACGGAAUUACUGGGCGUAAAGCGCGCGUAGGCGGUUUGAUAAGUCGGAUGUGAAAUCCCCGGGCUCAACCUGGGAAUUGCAUUCGAUACUGUCAGGCUAGAGUGUGGUAGAGGGAAGUGGAAUUUCCGGUGUAGCGGUGAAAUGCGUAGAUAUCGGAAGGAACACCAGUGGCGAAGGCGGCUUCCUGGACCAACACUGACGCUGAGGUGCGAAAGCGUGGGGAGCAAACAGGAUUAGAUACCCUAGUAGUCC